GGGUGUUGGGGUCAGCAUGUAGAACAUCAUAUGUGGUUAUAAUAUUCCUGCAAAGUAGGGGCAGCUGGAGAGUAGGGUAGGGGGAGUGGAAAACAUAAUGGAGCAUAUAGACCUAAGAAAAAUCUCGGGGGGGGAGAGGCAAACCAAGGUGUGGGGGGGAAUGCCCCCCUUAACCCAUAGCAAAUGAUGCCCCUGUGUUUCUCAGAAAACCAUUUAUACUGAGUGGAAGACUCCUAUCCCCAGAGCUGCGUGGUGGAGGUAUUGGAGAAUGAUGCAACUUCCAGAAAACUUCAAGUAGUCCCAGCUAAACUUUUCUUGAUGCACUUUUGUGAAAACAUUGCUCAAUAUCGUGCUCGGAGUGUACACAGAACUGAGAGGCUGAAUGUAGAAAAUGCACCGAAUAGUCCUACAAUCAAACACUUCCUCAGAUGUCAUAAUAAAUAGUAACAAUACUCUGUACUGGUAUCAGCUAAGACUCUCAGAAAGCAAAGUAUCCCUAUCCAAAGCACACUGUAAUGUCAGUGAUAUGAUUAACGAGCUCUGUGUAAGCUCCAAAGUUUUUCUCUGUCACCAACAUAAGUUGGUCCAAUAAAAUAUAUUACCUUACCCACCUUGUCUCUCUCAUAUCCUGGUAUCAACAUGGUUACAACAACAUUGCAUAUAAGAAGUGGAAGAGAUUUAGUCUCAGUUUGAAAACAGAUUUAAAAAUCCUACUCAUCUUUUAUAGGUAGAUACUGUGAUUGAGGAUAUAAUAUGUAGUACCUUAAAAUCAAGACGGAUUGAAUCAUUUUUUACCUCACUAACGAUAAUAGAUUCAGCUUCUUACCAACAAAAUCCUUCAGACACAGAUUCUCUUCAUCCUCAAAUUCCCCAACAUAUAUAAAUAGAUAUAAUAGGCUUUUCUGUGUAUUAUCAGGACACAUUGGCACAUGUAAGUAAUUUGCAUGUUGUGAUAGUGCUUUGCUGUGUCUGGUACUCAUGUCAAUCUGUUUUCUUCCGUCAGUGCUGGCAUUAAGGGAAUCUGUGUCCGAAGGAUUUU